rnacentral:tRNA from 1 species
GGGGAAUUAGCUCAGUGGUAGAGCGCUUGCCUAGCAAGCGCAAGGCCCUGGGUUCGAUCCCCAGCUCUG